ensembl:lncRNA
GAGAAUUUGGUGACAAAUCAAAGCUGGCAAAAUGCAGUGAACAAACAGAGAGCUACAUUGCAGUAGCAGUUAGGACAAAGAAGGUGACAGGUGAAGGAUGAGAGAUGGUGGUUCAUAAGUUCACAGUUUCAUACAUCACACGUUGCUGCUAAAGAGGCUGCAGUACUGAAUCGCAGAAUUGUAGGGGUUGGAAGGGACCUCUGGUGAUCACCGUGUCCAAACCGCCUGCCAGGGCAUGCUCAGCAGGCUGCACAGGUAGGCAUUCAGACGGGUCAUCCCUUCCAUGCCCACUGAACAUGCCCCUCAGUGCUACAUCUGCAUGGCUCCUGCACGCAUCCAGGGACGGUGACCCCACGGCCUCCCCGGGCAACCUGUUGCAGUGCACAUCCCCUCCCAAAUCCCCGAGGAAAGCAUUUCCCCUACGAGUUAAUCUCAUCACCUCUUUUAGAUUAAAGCUUGUUCAGCUUGUCCAAUUCCUAUCAAACCACGUAGAAAGUCACUCACCACGCACGCUAGAUACCAAAUAUGCUGUUGACUUGCAAAUGUUUACUAGACUGUCUAGAAACCUAGGCUGGACUCAGCCAAGAAAUGCUAGCGUGGCUCCAGCGCUGCAGCCUUGGCCAAGGGACAGCUCCGCUCGUGGCUCUGGCCGGGGCAGCAGUGCCAGCAGGUUGAGGGAAG